GAUGAAGAACGUAGCGAAAUGCGAUAAGUAAUGUGAAUUGCAGAAUUCAGUGAAUCAUCGAAUCUUUGAACGCACAUUGCGCCCGCCAGUAUUCUGGCGGGCAUGCCUGUUCGAGCGUCAUUUCAACCAUCAAGCCCCCGGCUUGUGUUGGGGACCUGCGGCUGCCGCAGGCCCUGAAAACCAGUGGCGGGCUCGCUAGUCACUCCUAGCGUAGUAAUACAUCUCGCUCAGGGCGUGCUGCGGGUUCCGGCCGUUAAAAGCCUUAUUUACCCAAGGUUGACCUCGGAUCAGGUAGGAAGACCCGCUGAACUUAAGCAUAUCAAUAAGCGGAGGA
rnacentral:misc_RNA from 1 species